rnacentral:rRNA from 1 species
CGUGCCUAAUACAUGCAAGUCGUACGCUAGCCGCUGAAUUGAUCCUUCGGGUGAAGUGAGGCAAUGACUAGAGUGGCGAACUGGUGAGUAACACGUAAGAAACCUGCCCUUUAGUGGGGGAUAACAUUUGGAAACAGAUGCUAAUACCGCGUAACAACAAAUCACACAUGUGAUCUGUUUGAAAGGUCCUUUUGGAUCGCUAGAGGAUGGUCUUGCGGCGUAUUAGCUUGUUGGUAGGGUAGAAGCCUACCAAGGCAAUGAUGCGUAGCCGAGUUGAGAGACUGGCCGGCCACAUUGGGACUGAGACACUGCCCAAACUCCUACGGGAGGCUGCAGUAGGGAAUUUUCCGCAAUGCACGAAAGUGUGACGGAGCGACGCCGCGUGUGUGAUGAAGGCUUUCGGGUCGUAAAGCACUGUUGUAAGGGAAGAAUAACUGAAUUCAGAGAAAGUUUUCAGCUUGACGGUACCUUACCAGAAAGGGAUGGCUAAAUACGUGCCAGCAGCCGCGGUAAUACGUAUGUCCCGAGCGUUAUCCGGAUUUAUUGGGCGUAAAGCGAGCGCAGACGGUUUAUUAAGUCUGAUGUGAAAUCCCGAGGCCCAACCUCGGAACUGCAUUGGAAACUG